GAUGAACGCUGGCGGCGUGCCUAAUACAUGCAAGUCGAGCGAACGGACGAGAAGCUUGCUUCUCUGAUGUUAGCGGCGGACGGGUGAGUAACACGUGGAUAACCUACCUAUAAGACUGGGAUAACUUCGGGAAACCGGAGCUAAUACCGGAUGAUAUUUUGAACCGCAUGGUUCAAAAGUGAAAGACGGUCUUGCUGUCACUUAUAGAUGGAUCCGCGCUGCAUUAGCUAGUUGGUAAGGUAACGGCUUACCAAGGCAACGAUGCAUAGCCGACCUGAGAGGGUGAUCGGCCACACUGGAACUGAGACACGGUCCAGACUCCUACGGGAGGCAGCAGUAGGGAAUCUUCCGCAAUGGGCGAAAGCCUGACGGAGCAACGCCGCGUGAGUGAUGAAGGUCUUCGGAUCGUAAAACUCUGUUAUUAGGGAAGAACAUAUGUGUAAGUAACUGUGCACAUCUUGACGGUACCUAAUCAGAAAGCCACGGCUAACUACGUGCCAGCAGCCGCGGUAAUACGUAGGUGGCAAGCGUUAUCCGGAAUUAUUGGGCGUAAAGCGCGCGUAGGCGGUUUUUUAAGUCUGAUGUGAAAGCCCACGGCUCAACCGUGGAGGGUCAUUGGAAACUGGAAAACUUGAGUGCAGAAGAGGAAAGUGGAAUUCCAUGUGUAGCGGUGAAAUGCGCAGAGAUAUGGAGGAACACCAGUGGCGAAGGCGACUUUCUGGUCUGUAACUGACGCUGAUGUGCGAAAGCGUGGGGAUCAAACAGGAUUAGAUACCCUGGUAGUCCACGCCGUAAACGAUGAGUGCUAAGUGUUAGGGGGUUUCCGCCCCUUAGUGCUGCAGCUAACGCAUUAAGCACUCCGCCUGGGGAGUACGACCGCAAGGUUGAAACUCAAAGGAAUUGACGGGGACCCGCACAAGCGGUGGAGCAUGUGGUUUAAUUCGAAGCAACGCGAAGAACCUUACCAAAUCUUGACAUCCUUUGACAACUCUAGAGAUAGAGCCUUCCCCUUCGGGGGACAAAGUGACAGGUGGUGCAUGGUUGUCGUCAGCUCGUGUCGUGAGAUGUUGGGUUAAGUCCCGCAACGAGCGCAACCCUUAAGCUUAGUUGCCAUCAUUAAGUUGGGCACUCUAAGUUGACUGCCGGUGACAAACCGGAGGAAGGUGGGGAUGACGUCAAAUCAUCAUGCCCCUUAUGAUUUGGGCUACACACGUGCUACAAUGGACAAUACAAAGGGCAGCGAAACCGCGAGGUCAAGCAAAUCCCAUAAAGUUGUUCUCAGUUCGGAUUGUAGUCUGCAACUCGACUACAUGAAGCUGGAAUCGCCAGUAAUCGUAGAUCAGCAUGCUACGGUGAAUACGUUCCCGGGUCU
rnacentral:rRNA from 1 species